UGCCAGCAGCCGCGGUACUACGGAGGGUUCGAGCGUUAUCCGGAAUCAUUGGGUUUAAAGGGUCCGCAGGCGGUCAAUUAAGUCAGAGGUGAAAGCCCAUCGCUCAACGAUGGAACUGCCUUUGAUACUGGUUGACUUGAGUUAUACGGAAGUAGAUAGAAUAAGUAGUGUAGCGGUGAAAUGCAUAGAUAUUACUUAGAAUACCGAUUGCGAAGGCAGUCUACUACGUAUAUAUUGACGCUGAUGAACGAAAGCGUGGGUAGCGAACGGGAUUGGAUA
rnacentral:rRNA from 1 species